rnacentral:lncRNA from 1 species
ACAUGCUAGCCCAAUCUGCUGGCGUCAUGUCCAAGUUAGUAAUGGACUCGACCAUGCUUACCGUGAAGGGUGCUUGGGGACCAUAGGUUGUUACAGCCUCCUUUAACUGCUUCACUGUUUUAAAAUCUAAAGCAUGGUGAAUUCGCUGCCCUCCUACCUGUUCAAGUACAGGGCAUGCUAAUCUUUGAGGUCCUGUCUCAGGAUCCCAUUUAUCAACUACGAGGUUUGAGGGCCACUCAGCUGUCUCCAUAGGUGGGGCUGUUGGUUGAAUUUCGCCCUCUGGUGAUAAAACGGAGUUAGUAACAGCCUCCUGUUGUGGCCUUUUUCCUAAUAACCCCUUUUCCUUUAAAAUUUCUUCCCCUGUCUGAUUAGCUUGAGAGACCUUUUCUUUUGCUUGAUCUAAAAUGUCUUUCUCGGGGCUGGGGAUGUGGCUCAAGUGGUAGCGCGCUCGCCUGGCAUGCAUGCGGCCCGGGUUCGAUCCUCAGCACCACAUACAAACAAAGAUGUUGUGUCCGACGAAAACAAACUAAAAAAAUAAAUAAAUAUUAAAAAUUAUAAAUAAAAAUAAAAAUAAAAUGUCUUUCUCC